UACGUAGGGUGCGAGCGUUAAUCGGAAUUACUGGGCGUAAAGCGUGCGCAGGCGGUUUUGUAAGCCAGAUGUGAAAUCCCCGGGCUUAACCUGGGAAUGGCAUUUGGAACUGCAAGGCUCGAGUGCGGCAGAGGAGACUGGAAUUCCUGGUGUAGCAGUGAAAUGCGUAGAUAUCAGGAGGAACACCGAUGGCGAAGGCAGGUCUCUGGGCUGACACUGACGCUCAUGCACGAAAGCGUGGGGAGCGAACAGG
rnacentral:rRNA from 1 species